GAUGAACGCUAGCGGCAGGCUUAAUACAUGCAAGUCGAGGGGCAGCACGAUUGUAGCAAUACAAUUGAUGGCGACCGGCAAACGGGUGCGGAACACGUACACAACCUUCCAACAAGUGGGGGAUAGCCCAGAGAAAUUUGGAUUAAUACCCCGUAACAUAGCGAUGUGGCAUCACAUUGCUAUUAUAGAUUUUUCGCUUGUUGAUGGGUGUGCGGCUGAUUAGAUAGUUGGCGGGGUAACGGCCCACCAAGUCUACGAUCAGUAGCUGAUGUGAGGGCAUGAUCAGCCACACGGGCACUGAGACACGGGCCCGACUCCUACGGGAGGCAGCAGUAAGGAAUAUUGGACAAUGGACGCAAGUCUGAUCCAGCCAUGCCGCGUGAAGGAUUAAGGUCCUCUGGAUUGUAAACUUCUUUUAUAAGGGACGAAAAAAGGCUUUUCUAAGUCGUCUGACGGUACCUUAUGAAUAAGCACCGGCUAACUCCGUGCCAGCCGCCGCGGUAAGAC
rnacentral:rRNA from 1 species